rnacentral:rRNA from 1 species
CUACGGGUGGCUCCAGUGAGGAAUAUUGCACAAUGGGGGGAACCCUGAUGCAGCAACGCCGCGUGGAGGAUGACGCAUUUCGGUGUGUAAACUCCUUUUAUCAAGGAAGAAAAUGACGGUACUUGAUGAAUAAGCACCGGCUAACUCCGUGCCAGCAGCCGCGGUAAUACGGAGGGUGCAAGCGUUACUCGGAAUCACUGGGCGUAAAGGACGCGUAGGCUGACUUUUAAGUCAGGUGUGAAAUCCUAUGGCUUAACCAUAGAACUGCACUUGAAACUGGGAGUCUAGAGUAUGGAAGGGGCAGAUGGAAUUAGUGGUGUAGGGGUAAAAUCCGUAGAUAUCACUAGGAAUACCUAAAGCGAAGGCGAUCUCCUGGAACAUUACUGACGCUAAGGCGUGAAAGCGUGGGGAGCAAACAGGAUUAGAUACCCGCGUAGUC